UACGUAGGGUGCAAGCGUUAUCCGGAAUUAUUGGGCGUAAAGAGCUUGUAGGCGGUUUGUCGCGUCUGCUGUGAAAAUCCGGGGCUCAACCCCGGACUUGCAGUGGGUACGGGCAGACUAGAGUGUGGUAGGGGGAGACUGGAAUUCCUGGUGUAGCGGUGAAAUGCGUAGAUAUCAAGUGGAACACCAGUGGCGAAGGCGAGUCCCUGGACAUUUCCUGACACUGGAGGCACGAAAGCUAGGGGAGCAAACAGG
rnacentral:rRNA from 1 species